GAUGAACGCUGGCGGCGUGCCUAAUACAUGCAAGUCGAGCGAACGGACGAGAAGCUUGCUUUUCUGAUGUUAGCGGCGGACGGGUGAGUAACACGUGGAUAACCUACCUAUAAGACUGGGAUAACUUCGGCAAACCGGAGCUAAUACCGGAUAAUAUUUUGAACCGCAUGGUUCAAAAGUGAAAGACGGUCUUGCUGUCACUUAUAGAUGGAUCCGCGCUGCAUUAGCUAGUUGGUAAGGUAACGGCUUACCAAGGCAACGAUGCAUAGCCGACCUGAGAGGGUGAUCGGCCACACUGGAACUGAGACACGGUCCAGACUCCUACGGGAGGCAGCAGUAGGGAAUCUUCCGCAAUGGGCGAAAGCCUGACGGAGCAACGCCGCGUGAGUGAUGAAGGUCUUCGGAUCGUAAAACUCUGUUAUUAGGGAAGAACAUAUGUGUAAGUAACUGUGCACAUCUUGACGGUUCCUAAUCAGAAAGCCACGGCUAACUACGUG
rnacentral:rRNA from 1 species